UCUUUCCUUUGGGCUUUCUACUCUUGUUUUAUUUCCUGAUUAGCAAAAUGGACGCUUAAGCUCAUUACACCUACUUCACUUUCAAACACCCGUUAUUUCACAGAGGAAAAUUUCGAGCAUAUGCUUGAUUUGUCAUCCACUUACUCUGAGAUCUGAGACUACGAUCUAAAUCAACUCUUUUCUUCAUGGUAGAAGUAGAAUGGUGAGGAAGUUAUGAUCACAAUCUCAAGCUGACCUUGCCAUUGACUCUCAAAGGCUACUAAGGAAGUGGUUCACUGUUUCCCUUUUCCUACCAGGAAAGGGACAAAAGUUGCAGUUGCAGGGCAAUAAGUCUUUUGCAGAUGAAGUUGUCCAAGCAAAAUUCACGCACUUUUCAGUGAAAACUGAAAACCGACUCAAAGGGUUUCCGGCUCCGGACUUUAUUAGGCUCUUCAUCAGGUUACAAAAGACAGGUACAAGCACAAGGAAGCACAAGAAGGGAACAAAGCAAAAUCGGGGAACAUCCCGACCACAUCGACAUCUCAGGACUCAAAAGUCGAGUCAUUCUCAAUCAAUCCAGUAGAUUUCUUUUUAUCAGGAUCAGUCUCCUUUAGCUAUCAAGGUGAGCAAGAAUUCCUUGUAGUUCCCAUUAGCUGUAUCCUCAAUCUUUUUGGACAAGUGAACUCCGUACAUCUUGCUGAA